rnacentral:sRNA from 1 species
GUGACGUGGAAGAAGUUCAAGGACCUGGAGUAGUUGGUGAAUUUCCAAUCAUCAGCCCAGGUCGGGUAUACGAAUACACAAGCUGUACCACAUUCUCUACAACAUCAGGAUACAUGGAAGGAUAUUAUACCUUCCAUUUUCUUUACUUUAAAGACAAGAUCUUUAAUGUUGCCAUUCCCCGAUUCCAUAUGGCAUGUCCAACAUUCAGGGUGUCUAUAGCCCGAUUGUUUUGGUAAUUUGUGCCUUUCAAGGAAUUUGUCCAUUCCAUCUAAAUGUUGAAUUUAUUGGUAUAAAGUUAUUGACAGUAUUCCCUUGAUAUCCUUUUAAUGGCUACAAAAGCCAUAGUCACU